ACGAACGCUGGCGGCGUGCUUAACACCUGCAAGUCGAACGGAAAGGCCCUGCUUUUGUGGGGUGCUCGAGUGGCGAACGGGUGAGUAACACGUGAGUAACCUGCCCUUGACUUUGGGAUAACUUCAGGAAACUGGGGCUAAUACCGGAUAGGAGCUCCUGCUGCAUGGUGGGGGUUGGAAAGUUUCGGCGGUUGGGGAUGGACUCGCGGCUUAUCAGCUUGUUGGUGGGGUAGUGGCUUACCAAGGCUUUGACGGGUAGCCGGCCUGAGAUGGUGACCGGCCACAUUGGGACUGAGAUACGGCCCAGACUCCUACGGGAGGCAGCAGUGGGGAAUAUUGCACAAUGGGCGGAAGCCUGAUGCAGCAACGCCGCGUGCGGGAUGACGGCCUUCGGGUUGUAAACCGCUUUCGCCUGUGACGAAGCGUGAGUGACGGUAAUGGGUAAAGAAGCACCGGCUAACUACGUG
rnacentral:rRNA from 1 species